rnacentral:lncRNA from 1 species
GUGAAAAUGGGGAAUGUGUCAUAGAGACAAUAACCAGAUCUUAGAGCAGACAACAGUCGAAGGUUACCAAUGGAUCUUUAAUGCAGGGAGAAACUCCUACACCCAAAGGAUUGCUUUUGCUGGCCCUUUAACACAAUAACCAUGAUAACAAAAAUGUAAACUAUUUCAACUAGUCACUUGUUCAGGUGGAACUUUUAAACCAGAGGAAGAACAAAGUAACUACAAUGUAGUUAAUAAGUUCUGGAGAUUUUUCGGCUAGUUAGUUCUUUCCGCCUGGAACUUUCCAACGUCGGAACAAAAGAGCAUUUACAAUAACUUGGACAUCAUACUAAAAUCAGAAGUAUACACAAGAAAUUAAUAAAAUUUUAAAAAAUGUACAAAACAAUUAUGCAAAAUAAAUAUGAUAUACAGCAACAAUCACCGCAUUCGUGGGUCCUCACUAUGGACAGGUACAUACAGAAUGUGGCGGCUUAAACAUCUUAACUGGCACAAAACUCUCCCCUAACAUAGGACAGUGUAUGUGUAUAAUCUCAG